rnacentral:lncRNA from 1 species
UUUUUUUUUUUUUUUUUUUUUUUUGAGACGGAGUUUCGCUCUGUCGCCCAGGCUGGAGUGCAGUGGCGCGAUCUCGACUCACUGCAAGCUCCGCCUCCCGGGUUCACGCCAUUCUCCUGCCUCAGCCUCCCGUGUAGCUGGGACUACAGGCACACGCCACCAUGCCCGGCUAAUUUUUGUAUUUUUAGUAGAGACGGGGUUUCACCGUGUUAGCCAGGAUGGUCUCGAUCUCCUGACCUCGUGAUCCGCCCGUCUCGGCCUCCCAAAGUGCUGGGAUUACAGGCGUGAGCCACCGCGCCCGGCCUAGUGCUUGAAUUUUGAAUCGUAUAAAUUCAUUACCUAUUCAAACUUUUAAAAUAGAAAUAUUGCAUCCUGAUCUCUAAUAUAACCAUGGAAUUUAAUGUGAAAAGUGUGUUUUGAAAUACUGAUGAAUGCAAUUAAUCAUAUACCACCCUACUCCUGUUCCUUUUGAUAUCCAACAAUAUUUGAAUAAAUUUGAUGCCCCAGGAAGACACUAUGGGCUUAUCCUAUAGCUCCUUACAUCCUGGUGUUUAGAUCAAGUACUGCUGAACAUGCACUUAUCACAGUGUGAGAUGGUUUUAGUGGCAUGAGUAAGGCUUUGGAGGAGGCAGAGCUGAGCAUAAAUCCUGUUUAUAUUAUCAUUGGCUACAUUAACUUGAUUGAGUUGCCUAAUCUCUCUAUACCUUGAUUUCUUGAUCCGUAAAAUGUAAAUAAUAACUAUUCAGUGCUUUAUCAUGAAGUUGACCUUCAGUCCCCUCAUAUGCCAUGGGAUUUCAAGUUGAUUUAAGGAUGAAACUCAUUAACAAACAGCUUUCUGCAUUAGUGUCCCAGCUUUGCCUCUGUUAGAGCCAUGGUAAAGCUGACCAAACUUACCUCUUGCCCCUUGUUUCACUAAGUCCCUUGUAAAUGACUCCAACCCACUGUUUUCUGGUUCCUGCCGCCUCUUUGAAGUUGGUCUCCAUUUCUUCCUGGUCAGCCAAUUCUCUUUCUAAGGUACACUCAACUUAGCACUAAGAAUGUGCUUCUUACCCUCUUUCCUAUCCAAAGCCUCUGGAGGCGUCUUAGAUAGUUGUUUUGUCACGGUUGAGAGAAAGGGAAUUCCUUUCACAAUGGGAUUUGGGGGCCAAUCUAUUGUGUCUGGAUCCCCAGGGACAUGGUGGCAAUCAUACUUAUCUUGGAAGGAUUUGUGCCAGGGGUGCAGGGGUAGGUUAGACUCUUCUGUCUUCCCUUCCUCUAACUGCAGCUCCUACUUACCUGUGGCAACUUUCAGACGUCUAUGCUAACUGUUCAUCAGAGUUUGGCUUGGUGUAAUUUACAAUCAGAUGUACAUAAAAUGUGUUUGUGUCUUGCAAACUGUUUACUUAAGCAACUACUAGGACCUGUUACUACAUGACAUCAAAAGCUCUGAGGUAGUUGUUUUAUGGUCAGUCCAAAAAAUGAUCGAAGGUUUGGGUUUGUAUGUGUUCAUGUACUUUAAUGGGAGAGAAAUUCGCAUAUGGUUAAUAGAUUGGUUGCUAUGAUGAGAUAGAAUGCUUUUUGAAAAAGUUUCCCUUUAAAGUCAAACAUUAAUCACUUUCCAGGUGGAGGGAAAGCAGAAGUGAGAAAAACCCAGACUGUCAUAGGCUAGAUUUCCCCCAGAUAUUAUUGCUGCUUCUGUCUCUACAGCCGAACAUAACAGCUGGUGAAUAGGCAGAAACUGGAGAAAGAUCUUUUCUUGCCUUUAAUCCAGUAUGCUGUUUUCUUGUGCCCGUUUUACUGUAAUUCUCGGCGGCCAUGGGACAAAAGCUGUUGACUGAUACAUGCAAUUACCUCCUCUAAUAUUGCUCUCAACUGUCGGGCCUGACUGACAAAAGUGGAUGAGGUUUAGUUAAGGUCUGGGAAAACACUCUUAAUAAAAGACAUUCCCAUCUGUAUGAUCACACCCUCCCUCAGACCUUUUCAUCUGUUUUCUAGAAAGAUAAGGUCUGGUGAUGGAAAGUUAAAACGUGGUGCUGAACUUGGAUGUUAGCAACACCACCAUUUACCUCAAAAAAAUUCUCCACAGUGUGGUGUGUGUGUGUGUGUGUGUGCACAGUUUGCAUUUGCAAUGAUGGAAAUCAGUUUGGAUCAUUGGGCAGAGUUUCCCCAGAAAGAAUAAGAGGCUCUUUUAGAACGUUAAACCAGAUCCUUAUUGGUUUCAGCCCUCAACUGAUUAUUUUGUAGGUAAAAGAAAGCCUGAGGAGGCUUUCCCCUCUGAGUUUUUCCGUGGAUUGCUGGACUCUGAGGCCCUCAUUCCUCUUGCAGGAGGUGUGGAGCAAAACUGUGUUGAAUGAACUGUAGAUGGAAAUUCUCUCCUUCCCACCGAGGAGCCGCUGCAGGUUGCAGACUCCCAGAAUGCCACACUGAGAAGAGGAGGGCUAAAAUUCUAGAGCAGAAUCCCUGGGGCAGCCCCUGCUGAAGAAGGGUGCAUCUGUUGAGAAUCUCAUCACCGCCCCCACCCCGCCCAGCCUUCAAUUUAGAGGAAUUUCUAGUUCACGCAGAAUGAAGACAAGAUCACAUAAGUGAGGACGACGCCCCAUUUACAAGUGUGAUUUGGAAGACUGAAGUGGAAACCUUGGGAAGGGGCCUCAGAGUAUGUCAGCUGGGGUCAGACGGGAACAGGAGUCUGGCUCAACACACAUUUAUUGCACUCCUGUUUCAUGCCAAGAAAUGUACCAAAAUCUGGGACUGUGUAACACAGCAAAGGAAAAGACUCAUCUCCAGGAAGCCCCCUUGUCUAGGAAGAGAAAUUGAAUAUCAGCAUAAGGUGGUGAAAAGCUGUGAAGGAGAUGAGUGCCAGGAGUCCAUGGAGGAAGGAUUCUAGCCUGGACAGGUGAGGAAUGGCUUUCUGGAAGAAGCAGAUGCCCCAGCUGAACUUUAAAAUGCCCAUGUGAAAUGAACUGUCUGUAUCUUCAAUCAGCAAAUGGAGUAGGUGGCCACUGUUUAAUUCUGGAAUGGGGAAGUGUAAAGGUGUGGUGUGUGUGUUUACCCCUACUUAGGGAUUCAAAACAGACAGUAAAGAACAAAAGUCUAGCCCUUUGAGCAUUCUCCAUGGGACAUUUGAGGUCUAGCUGGCCCCAGAGAAAGAGAGACAGAAGCAAGGUCAUAUCCAUUUGAGAAAAUCAAAGUGUCUGCUCCAAUUGAGUCUGGUGUCCUUAUUCCUGGAAUAGCCAUCCCUACUGCUCUGGUGCUGAUUUACCUCCGGCAGUUCAGUGCUUCCUGGAAGGUGAUUGUGGUGAAUAGUCAUGAGAAUCUGGGAACUGGCUCCUGCUCUGUCUAUCUUGGAGAUGCAUCUUUUGUGAGAAGCCAGGGCAAGAAUAGGGAGGCUUAGGCAAUGGGAAGUUUCUGAGUAGAUAAAGCAGAUGGCAGAGCAAAGGGACAGAGCCUGGCGAGAGGCUACUCCCUGUAGCAACCUGCCUAAGAGUGAGAGGAAAGCAAGGCAUGGCUAUGAGCACGUGUAGUCUCAGCUACUUGGGAAGCUGAGGCUGGGGGAUCACUUGAGCCCAGGAGUUCAAGACCAGCCUAGGCAACAUAGUGAGACCAUGUCUCUUUAAAAAAAAAAAAAAAAAG